UUAGUUAGUUGGUAGGGUAAAGGCCUACCAAGACGAUGAUGUUUAGCGGGGCCAAGAGGCUGUACCGCCACACUGGGAUUGAGAUACGGCCCAGACUCCUACGGGAGGCAGCAGUAAGGAAUAUUCCACAAUGAGCGAAAGCUUGAUGGAGCGACACAGAGUGCAGGAUGAAGUCUUUAGGGAUGUAAACUGCUGUUGUAAGGGAAGAAAAAACUAGAUAGGAAAUGAUUUAGUCUUGACGGUACCUUAUUAGAAAGUGACGGCAAACUAUGUGCCAGCAGCCGCGGUAAUACAUAGGUCGCAAGCGUUAUCCGGAAUUAUUGGGCGUAAAGCGUCCGCAGGUUUUUUGUUAAGUUUAAGGUUAAAUGCUAAAGCUCAACUUUAGUUCGCUUUAGAUACUGACAAAAUAGAAUUAUGAAGAGGUUAGCGGAAUUCCUAGUGGAGCGGUGGAAUGCGUAGAUAUUAGGAAGAACACCAAUAGGCGAAGGCAGCUAACUGGUCAUAUAUUGACACUAAUGGACGAAAGCGUGGGGAGCAAACAGGAUUAGAUACCCUGGUAGUCCACGCCGUAAACGAUGAUCAUUAGUUGGUGGCAAAAGUCACUAGCACAGCUAACGCGUUAAAUGAUCCGCCUGAGUAGUAUGCUCGCAAGAGUGAAACUUAAAGGAAUUGACGGGAACCCGCACAAGCGGUGGAGCAUGUGGUUUAAUUUGAAGAUACGCGUAGAACCUUACCCACUCUUGACAUCCUCGCAAAACUAUAGAGAUAUAGCGGA
rnacentral:rRNA from 2 species